rnacentral:rRNA from 1 species
GUUGCCAGCAUUAUUGGGCACUCUAAGGGGACUGCCGGUGAUAAGCCGAGAGAAGUGGGGAUGACGUCAAGUCCUCAUGGCCUUACGGGCUGGGCUACACACGUGCUACAAUGGUGGUGACAGUGGGCAGCGAGCACGCGAGUGUGAGCUAAUCUCCAAAAGCCAUCUCAGUUCGGAUUGCACUCUGCAACUCGAGUGCAUGAAGUUGGAAUCGCUAGUAAUCGCGGAUCAGCAUGCCGCGGUGAAUACGUUCCCGGGCCUU